rnacentral:rRNA from 1 species
GAUGAACGCUGGCGGCGUGCCUAAUACAUGCAAGUCGAGCGAACAGACGAGGAGCUUGCUCCUCUGACGUUAGCGGCGGACGGGUGAGUAACACGUGGAUAACCUACCUAUAGACUGGGAUAACUUCGGGAAACCGGAGCUAAUACCGAAUAAUAUAUUGAACCGCAUGGUUCAAUAGUGAAAGACGGUUUUGCUGUCACUUAUAGAUGGAUCCGCGCCGCAUUAGCUAGUUGGUAAGGUAACGGCUUACCAAGGCAACGAUGCGUAGCCGACCUGAGAGGGCGAUCGGCCACACUGGAACUGAGACACGGUCCAGACUCCUACGGGAGGCAGCAGUAGGGAAUCUUCCGCAAUGGGCGAAAGCCUGACGGAGCAACGCCGCGUGAGUGAUGAAGGUCUUCGGAUCGUAAAACUCUGUUAUUAGGGAAGAACAAAUGUGUAAGUAACUAUGCACGUCUUGACGGUACCUAAUCAGAAAGCCACGGCUAACUACGUG